rnacentral:lncRNA from 1 species
GUUACUCUCUUGCCCUCUCUCAUUGUUAUUGAAUUUUCUACUAGUAGACGAAAAAGGUAAACCAAUUAUAUAGUUUCAAUGCAUAAGCGAUUCGUAGUCAUUAUUGUAUUUUUGUGUGAUCCUCUCUCUUUAGGCUUAUUGUAUUUUUGUGUAAUCCUCUCUUUAAGUUUGUAAAAGAAGAUAGAUUAUUAAACAUGGAGUUUUUUUUUUUUUUUUUUUGAAACUAACAUGGAGUUUAUUUCAGCAUAGAAAACCAAUAAACAAUAGAAAAAAGUGGAAGAUAGAAGUUAUGUGUUUGGCUAGAG